GCACUGUUCCUCCUAACUUCCUUCAGUGAUGGAUUUUGAUGUGGCCGUAACUUUGAAAUGUAUUGAGGAUUUCUUGGCAGCAUGAAGUAAAGCCCGCUUGAUGGAGUCUCAUGUGUGAUGCAUUCAGUUCACCUCAACAUAAGGCUAUCACUGGACCAGCACCACCACCUUAGUUUUCAAGGUAGAUGUUCCAAUUGAAAUUAUGCAUCCUGCUUGAAGAGUCACACAUCACUAUAACAACCAGCCCCUUUAUUGUUUUUUCUUCGUGAAUGUUUUAAUUAACAACAGUGUGAAAUAAAACUACUCAUGACAUCA